rnacentral:rRNA from 1 species
ACGGAGGGUGCAAGCGUUGUUCGGAAUUACUGGGCGUAAAGGGCGCGUAGGCGGUUUGAUAAGUCAGAUGUGAAAGCCCACGGCUUAACUGUGGAAGUGCAUUUGAAACUGUCAGACUUGAGUACCAGAGGGGAAAGUGGAAUUCCCGGUGUAGAGGUGAAAUUCGGAGAUAUCGGGAGGAAUAGCGGUGGCGAAGGCGACAUUCUGGCUGGAUACUGACGCUGAUGCGCGAAAGCGUGGGGAGCAAGCAU